GAGUUUGAUCCUGGCUCAGGACGAACGCUGGCGGCGUGCCUAACACAUGCAAGUCGAGCGGGGUGAGUUCUUCGGAACGAUCCUAGCGGCGGACGGGUGAGUAACACGUGGGUAACCUGCCUCAAAGUGGGGGAUAGCCUUUCGAAAGGAAGAUUAAUACCGCAUAACCCAUAGCUUCCGCAUGGAAGCAAUGGUAAAGAUUUAUCGCUUUGAGAUGGACCCGCGGCGCAUUAGCUAGUUGGUGAGGUAACGGCUCACCAAGGCCACGAUGCGUAGCCGACCUGAGAGGGUGAUCGGCCACAUUGGAACUGAGACACGGUCCAGACUCCUACGGGAGGCAGCAGUGGGGAAUAUUGCACAAUGGGCGCAAGCCUGAUGCAGCAACGCCGCGUGAGUGAUGAAGGUCUUCGGAUUGUAAAGCUCUGUCUUUGGGGACGAUAAUGACGGUACCCAAGGAGGAAGCCACGGCUAACUACGUGCCAGCAGCCGCGGUAAUACGUAGGUGGCAAGCGUUGUCCGGAUUUACUGGGCGUAAAGGGUGCGUAGGUGGAUAUUUAAGUCAGAUGUGAAAUCCCUGGGCUCAACCCAGGACCUGCAUUUGAAACUGGAUGUCUAGAGUGCGGGAGAGGUAAGUGGAAUUCCUAGUGUAGCGGUGAAAUGCGUAGAGAUUAGGAAGAACACCAGUGGCGAAGGCGACUUACUGGACCGUAACUGACACUGAGGCACGAAAGCGUGGGUAGCAAACAGGAUUAGAUACCCUGGUAGUCCACGCCGUAAACGAUGAGUACUAGGUGUAGGGGGUAUCGACUCCCCCUGUGCCGCAGUUAACACAAUAAGUACUCCGCCUGGGAAGUACGAUCGCAAGAUUAAAACUCAAAGGAAUUGACGGGGGCCCGCACAAGCAGCGGAGCAUGUGGUUUAAUUCGAAGCAACGCGAAGAACCUU
rnacentral:rRNA from 1 species